rnacentral:misc_RNA from 1 species
AGCAGCCGCGGUAAUUCCAGCUCCAAUAGCGUAUAUUAAAGUUGUUGCAGUUAAAAGCUCGUAGUUGAAUUUCGGGGUUAGUAGGUUGGUCAUGCCUCUGGUAUGUACUGGUCUCACUGAUUCCUCCUUCCUGAUGAACCUUAAUGCCAUUAAUUUGGUGUUUUGGGGAAUUUGGACUGUUACUUUGAAAAAUUAGAGUGUUUAAAGCAAGCUAACGCUUGAAUACAUUAGCAUGGAAUGAUGAAAUAGGACGUUCGAUCCUAUUUUGUUGGUUUCUAGGAUUGACGUAAUGAUUAAUAGGGAUAGUUGGGGGCAUUAGUAUUCAAUUGUCAGAGGUGAAAUUCUUGGAUUUAUUGAAGACUAACUACUGCGAAAGCAUUUGCCAAGGAUGUUUUCAUUAAUCAAGAACGAAAGUUAGGGAUCGAAGACGAUCAGAUACCGUCGUAGUCUUAACCAUAAACUAUGCCGACUAGGGAUCGGAUGAUGUUAAUUUUUUAAUGACUCAUUCGGCGCCUUACGG